CGUCGGGGGCGGGAGCGAGGCCAGCAGGGGGCGUGGCGCCGGCAGGCUGGGCGGAGGCGGGCGGGAGCCGGGAGGCGGAGGCAGCCGGCGGGAACCGAUGGGAGGCCGGUAGGCCGGACGUGGUGUGGGAAACAACAUGGACCCUCUCAGCCCCGCGCUCUCUCUCGCUCCUAGGAAACGCUGUCUCCCACGACACGGGCGCUGCCGAGAGGCAGGCGUGUCGCGGGUGAAACCUGGCGGUGCGAAGCACCGGUGGCAUCGCUGCUGUGCGUGGCGGAUGGAGGCAUGGGAGUCAGGCCCCAGCUGGACACGUCAACCUGGAAAACACCUUAAUGUGGGUCAGCGCUGGCUUUAUGAAAUAACAGGCUAUUUUUAGCUUCAGUUAGUCUGAUGCUGUUCUAGUUAGAUUUAACUGAUUAAGCCUUUCUUCUGCGUGUUAUGUUUUUGUUACUAUAGAGAUUACAAGAGUCUGCAGAAGUUGUUUUUGAUCUAUACAAUAAACAGCUCAAUUCUGAAUCUCA